CCCUGGUCUUUUCUGAGUCUCAAAGGUCGAGUUCUUUUCUGAAUUAUUGAGGGGAGUGGGUAAAAAGGAGUGAAAAGCUCGUUUGUGCGUGUGGAGCCCGUAGCGCCUGAGAUCGGUCGAUCCACAUGGCUCGGAUCGGUCGAUCUCGUGUAUGAAAGCCUGGGAUCGGUCGAUCCAGGUAGCCCGGAUCGGUCGAUCUCGUGCUCUGUGCGAUCAAUACUUCAUUCGGUCCAUUGUUCGGUCCAUCUUGCUUCUGAAUAAAUCCCGAAUGCGUUCUUUUCUUUCAAGCUAUCUAGUAACCUGCAUAUUACACUUAAGAACACCAAAACGCAUCAAAU
rnacentral:lncRNA from 1 species